rnacentral:lncRNA from 1 species
AAAAAGGUUGGUGGUGGUGAAUGGAGUGGACGACAACGAUUGAAGGUGAGAUGAAGAGGUGAUGAAGAAAAGGGUUUAUGUGAGGAGGAUGGGGCGCUGUGGAGAAGAAGAGAAAAAGUUUUUUUCUUCUUUUUUAUUUUCCUUUUUUUCUUUCCACGUUCAGAGUCCGUGAGAGAGAGAAUAUUGGGAGAGAGACGCGUGUGGGAGCCUGUGAGAGAGAGAGGAAGUGGUUAAUGAUGAGUGAGGUGAUCGUUGGCCUUUUCUUCUUUUUUUUUCUUUUUUUCUAUUUCCCUUUUUUUUACUUCCUCAGAUAGAUAGAUAUGCUAAUGGGAAGCUAGUUGUCAUUUAAUUGUUCUUUCUUACCGUUGGAGUGGGAGUGGGCGACAACUGUCCCCGAGGAAAAGGAUAAGAUUC